AGUGAACGCUGGCGGUAGGCCUAACACAUGCGAGUCGAACGGCAGCACAGUAAGAGCUUGCUCUUACGGGUGGCGAGUGGCGGACGGGUGAGGAAUACAUCGGAAUCUACUUUUUCGUGGGGGAUAACGUAGGGAAACUUACGCUAAUACCGCAUACGACCUACGGGUGAAAGCAGGGGAUCUUCGGACCUUGCGCGAUUGAAUGAGCCGAUGUCGGAUUAGCUAGUUGGCGGGGUAAAGGCCCACCAAGGCGACGAUCCGUAGCUGGUCUGAGAGGAUGAUCAGCCACACUGGAACUGAGACACGGUCCAGACUCCUACGGGAGGCAGCAGUGGGGAAUAUUGGGCAAUGGGCGCAAGCCUGAUCCAGCCAUACCGCGUGGGUGAAGAAGGCCUUCGGGUUGUAAAGCCCUUUUGUUGGGAAAGAAAAGCAGCAGGUUAAUACCCCGCUGUUCUGACGGUACCCAAAGAAUAAGCACCGGCUAACUUCGUG
rnacentral:rRNA from 1 species